CCCGGGUGGCUCAGAUAGUAAAGAAUCUGCCUGCAAAGCAGGAGAUCAGGGUUCGAUCCCUGAGUUGGGA
rnacentral:tRNA from 1 species